CUGGUCUGGGGAAAUAAAGUGAAUGUGGGUAUCGAUCGCACCGGCGGUGAUGAUCAUGUGCUCACCAGCGAUGAUAUCGGUGCUGACACCGAUCGGGAUGGUGAUGUCAUCCUGAAUAUCCGGGUUACCCGCCUUGCCGAUUCCGGAGAUGCGACCCUCGCGGAUGCCGAUAUCGGCCUUGUAGAUUCCGGUGUAGUCAAGGAUGAGGGCACCGGUGAUGACGGUGUCCGGGACGCCUUCCUCGCGGGUGAGGCGGCCGUUCUGGCCCAUGCCAUCGCG
rnacentral:sRNA from 1 species